rnacentral:rRNA from 1 species
AGCAUGUGGUUUAAUUCGAAGCAACGCGCAGAACCUUACCAGCCCUUGACAUCCGGUAUCGGUCCUCGAGAGAUUGAGGACUUCCCUUCGGGGAGGCCGAGACAGGUGCUGCAUGGCUGUCGUCAGCUCGUGUCGUGAGAUGUUGGGUUAAGUCCCGCAACGAGCGCAACCCCAUCGUCAGUUGCCAGCAUUCAGUUGGGCACUCUGGCGAAACCGCCGGCGCCAAGCCGGAGGAAGGCGGGGAUGACGUCAAGUCCUCAUGGCCCUUAUGGGCUGGGCUACACACGUGCUACAAUGGCGGUGACAGUGGGACGCGAAACCGCGAGGUGGAGCAAAUCCCCAAAAGCCGUCUCAGUUCGGAUUGCACUCUGCAACUCGAGUGCAUGAAGUUGGAAUCGCUAGUAAUCGCGGAUCAGCACGCCGCGGUGAAUACGUUCCCGGGCCUU